AACGCUGGCGGCGUGCUUAACACAUGCAAGUCGAACGGAAAGGCCCUGCUUUUGUGGGGUGCUCGAGUGGCGAACGGGUGAGUAACACGUGAGUAACCUGCCCUUGACUUUGGGAUAACUUCAGGAAACUGGGGCUAAUACCGGAUAGGAGCUCCUGCUGCAUGGUGGGGGUUGGAAAGUUUCGGCGGUUGGGGAUGGACUCGCGGCUUAUCAGCUUGUUGGUGGGGUAGUGGCUUACCAAGGCUUUGACGGGUAGCCGGCCUGAGAGGGUGACCGGCCACAUUGGGACUGAGAUACGGCCCAGACUCCUACGGGAGGCAGCAGUGGGGAAUAUUGCACAAUGGGCGGAAGCCUGAUGCAGCAACGCCGCGUGCGGGAUGACGGCCUUCGGGUUGUAAACCGCUUUCGCCUGUGACGAAGCGUGAGUGACGGUAAUGGGUAAAGAAGCACCGGCUAACUACGUGCCAGCAGCCGCGGUGAUACGUAGGGUGCGAGCGUUGUCCGGAUUUAUUGGGCGUAAAGGGCUCGUAGGUGGUUGAUCGCGUCGGAAGUGUAAUCUUGGGGCUUAACCCUGAGCGUGCUUUCGAUACGGGUUGACUUGAGGAAGGUAGGGGAGAAUGGAAUUCCUGGUGGAGCGGUGGAAUGCGCAGAUAUCAGGAGGAACACCAGUGGCGAAGGCGGUUCUCUGGGCCUUUCCUGACGCUGAGGAGCGAAAGCGUGGGGAGCGAACAGGCUUAGAUACCCUGGUAGUCCACGCUGUAAACGGUGGGUACUAGGUGUGGGGUCCAUUCCACGGGUUCCGUGCCGUAGCUAACGCUUUAAGUACCCCGCCUGGGGAGUACGGCCGCAAGGCUAAAACUCAAAGGAAUUGACGGGGCCCCGCACAAGCGGCGGAGCAUGCGGAUUAAUUCGAUGCAACGCGUAGAACCUUACCUGGGUUUGACAUGGAUCGGGAGUGCUCAGAGAUGGGUGUGCCUCUUUUGGGGUCGGUUCACAGGUGGUGCAUGGCUGUCGUCAGCUCGUGUCGUGAGAUGUUGGGUUAAGUCCCGCAACGAGCGCAACCCUUGUUCACUGUUGCCAGCACGUUAUGGUGGGGACUCAGUGGAGACCGCCGGGGUCAACUCGGAGGAAGGUGGGGAUGACGUCAAGUCAUCAUGCCCCUUAUGUCCAGGGCUUCACGCAUGCUACAAUGGCUGGUACAGAGAGUGGCGAGCCUGUGAGGGUGAGCGAAUCUCGGAAAGCCGGUCUCAGUUCGGAUUGGGGUCUGCAACUCGACCUCAUGAAGUCGGAGUCGCUAGUAAUCGCAGAUCAGCAACGCUGCGGUGAAUACGUUCCCGGGGCUUGUACACACCGCCCGUCAAGUCAUGAAAGUUGGUAACACCCGAAGCCGGUGGCCUAACCGUUGUGGGGGAGCCGUCGAAGGUGGGACUGGUGAUUAGG
rnacentral:rRNA from 1 species